GCCCGCUCAAGAAACUCAAAUGAAGUUGACGGGGCCCGCACAAGCGGUGGAGUAUGUGGUUUAAUUCGAUGCAACGCGAAGAACCUUACCUGGUCUUGACAUCCCGGAGACCCUUAGGAAACUAGGGGGUGCUUCCAUCUGGAAGAAUCUGGAGACAGGUGCUGCAUGGCUGUCGUCAGCUCGUGUCGUGAGAUGUUGGGUUAAGUCCCGCAACGAGCGCAACCCUUACCUUUAGUUGCCAGCAGUUCGGCUGGGCACUCUAAAGGGACUGCCGGUGUUAAACCGGAGGAAGGUGGGGAUGACGUCAAGUCCUCAUGGCCUUUAUGACCAGGGCUACACACGUACUACAAUGGCCGAUACAAAGGGCAGCGACACUGCGAGGUGAAGCCAAUCCCGUAAAAUCGGUCUCAGUCCGGAUUGGAGUCUGCAACUCGACUCCAUGAAGUUGGAAUCGCUAGUAAUCGUGGAUCAGCAUGCCACGGUGAAUACGUUCCCGGGCCUU
rnacentral:rRNA from 1 species